AUUGAACGCUGGCGGAAUGCUUUACACAUGCAAGUCGAGCGGCAGCGCGGGGGCAACCCUGGCGGCGAGCGGCGAACAGGUGAGUAACAUAUCGGAACGUACCCAGUCGUGGGGGAUAACUAUCCGAAAGGAUAGCUAAUACCGCAUACGUCCUGAGGGAGAAAGCGGGGGAUCGCAAGACCUCGCGCGAUUGGAGCGGCCGAUAUCGGAUUAGCUAGUUGGUGGGGUAAAGGCUCACCAAGGCGACGAUCCGUAGCGGGUCUGAGAGGACGACCCGCCACACUGGAACUGAGACACGGUCCAGACUCCUACGGGAGGCAGCAGUGGGGAAUUUUGGACAAUGGGGGCAACCCUGAUCCAGCCAUUCCGCGUGAGUG
rnacentral:rRNA from 1 species